UUUUUAAAGUUACAUUACAAUCGCUCUGUACUCGCAAAAAAAAUAUGCACACAAGUAAAUGUAUAAAAAGAAUAAAAAAUGAAAAGAAGAAAAACAUAAGGUAAUACCCUGCUGUUUCUCUUGUUUCCUGUGAGGUUUCAUAUGCCCAAGAUCAGUCACUGAACUAUAAGCAGCAGUUACACAAAAAAGAAAUCUGAAGAAAUAAGAAAAAAAAAAAAACCCAGUUGAGCUAGCUGACGCAGCAGCAGCUCAUCUUUAACACAUCACAAACCAUCAUCAUUGGUAACGUCAUUGCGAGCUCUUGAUCUACCUGUAAAUCUUCUAAAGUAUAAUACACAAAACGAUAUUCUUUCUUUUCUCCUUUUCUUCUUUAUACAUUUUAUUUUUGUAAAGGAUGUGUGAGCACAUUUGCAGAAGAAGCCCUUUAAAGUAGAGUGUUGUUGUUCUUGGUUGCUGAUGUUUAUAUAUUGGUGACACUAAAAUAUUCACAACUAACCAAUAAAGUGGCUGGGAAAUGGUAGUUUGCAGCAGCAAUAUGCACAAAAUUUAAAAUGUAAUUUACAAAAGUUAUUGGCGGUAAAAAAGUAAAUACAUACAUAAUCAGAGACAUGUGUAUUUUUGUUUGACAAAGGCUGUGUGUUGUUACACAUGCGUGGGAAAUUAUAUAAAAUGGGCAUUAAUUGUGUUAAAUUUCAUGCUUAAUCAUUUAUUACUUAUACUGAUCAGGGUGGUCUGAUUUGUAAUGUUAUGAAAUACAAUUUUUGGUUUUUGCAAAAUAUA